rnacentral:tRNA from 1 species
GUUUUUAUAGUUUAAUUUAAAAUGUGAGGCUGUUAACCUUGUGAUAUGAUUUUGUUGAAAACG